UACGAAGGGGGCGAGCAUUGUUCGGAAUUACUGGGCGUAAAGGGCGCGUAGGCGGCGACUCUAGUCAGAUGUGAAAGUCCUGGGCUUAACCUGGGGACUGCAUUUGAUACUGGGUUGCUUGAAUUCGGGAGAGGAUAGCGGAAUUCCCAGUGUAGAGGUGAAAUUCGUAGAUAUUGGGAAGAACACCGGUGGCGAAGGCGGCUAUCUGGACCGACAUUGACGCUGAGGCGCGAAAGCGUGGGGAGCAAACAGG
rnacentral:rRNA from 1 species